rnacentral:rRNA from 1 species
GAUCGAACGGCGUAGCGACAGGCUUAACACAUGCAAGUCGAGGGGCGAGCGACGGUAGUAGCGAUACACUGGUGGCGACCGGCGCACGGGUGAGUAACACGUGUGCAACCAACCCCGUACCGGGAGAUAACCCGCGGAAACGUGGACUAACAUCCCAUGAUACUCGAGAGCCGCAUGGCUCUAGAUUUAAAAUUCCGGUGGUACGGGACGGGCACGCGCGACAUUAGGUAGUUGGCGGGGUAAGGGCCCACCAAGCCGACGAUGUCUAGGGGUUCUGAGAGGAAGGUCCCCCACACUGGAACUGAGACACGGUCCAG